rnacentral:lncRNA from 1 species
UCUAGAAAUGUGGCUGUGAAAUUCAGCCAUAGCAAACCAGGAACACCUGCUGGAAGACUGGCCAGGUUUGUGGAUGGCUCUAUUGUAGUAUAGUCAGAUGACACUGCCGUGAUAGUCACAGUGAUCAAUGAAACAAAAUCUUCAUGGUCUCUGUUCAUGCCUUGAUAGUCACAAUAGAAAGAAAGCUGCUGCAGCGGUGGAAUUCCCACAUACUCUCUUAGAAGAUAAGUUGCUUUCUCUGAUAAAGAAAUGGCUAUUUGUUUGCAGUAGAUGGUGUUAACGAACUGAUGUCCUAGCAAACAAUGGAGCUUCUGUAACCCCUUUAUAGGAGGUAUUUCUUGGAAUGGGCAUUGUUGGGGCAAUACAAUUAGGAAUGACUAAAGGAAAAUGUCUUAACACAAUAUACGUGCAAAAAAUGUCAUCUCAUACUUUAAACUUGGUGGAUGCUGAAGCAUCCAAAAAGUCAGACUGUGAUAUAUAUAACAUCAGGAUUUCUGCCACAACAUUAAUCUGGGAGUGAGGUUUACUGAACAAAUAGUUCAUACCAUACAGCAAUGAGUAAAAGAAAUUGGUGUUACCAAGCAGACAAGUUCGACAUCACUUUCUUCUUUAUAAGAGAUUGUGAAAUACAGUCACACAUUGGCUUUGGAAAGAUUAUUCAGUUUUAAUUUUUAACAUGUAAAAAUUUCUAGAGAUAAAGUUAUUAACAAGAUGAUGUUGGAUAAUGUAGUGGUACUAAAUGAAAAAUUUCUAGAGAUUAUUCCAUAUUAAUAGAAUCUUUCAAUACCACUUUAAAAGAGGCUUUAAAAAGUAUUAUUUUGAAUGACUACAAAGGUACGAUAGUUUAGAUAUGACUUCAUUUAGGAAUGUAUUGUAAGGCUGACAUAUUUCAAACUCUUCAUUGGAUCAACACUGCUUUAAAAAAGACAAUAGCUAGUACUUUGUAUGAUCACACCUGAUUCAUUAGAAUUCACUCUGAAGUCUGAUUUUAUUACAAAAGCAAUAAAUGGAACAAGAUACAAAGUUUAUAUUGCACUGUUUCCUACUUACACAACUAAUAAAAUUGACUAGGUCAUAUGUUUAAAUAGAAGAGAACCUGGGCAUGAUGAUCUGACUGAUUAAGCUUUUUGAAGUAUUAUUUACAAAUAUUUUGCUUUCACUCUGAGAGUUGCAGUUGAGAUCCUUGAAUCGAAUGGGGUGGACGUUUAGAAUUAAUAGAACCAGGGGUUCCAAUUUCACAUGCCUUUGCAGAGUAGGAAUGUUAUUAUUUACCAAAAAUAAUAUUGAGGACUAUAAAAUAGAUUAUCAUUUGUUGACAGAAUUCAUGAGAAUUAGAGAUCAAGAUGGUGGCACUAAUUUAAAAUAGCUGACAUCAAAAACGAAGUAGCUGUAAUACAGCCCAAUAUUAAAUUAUCAAGGACACCAAUAAAAAUUUAAUGGAGGCCAUUCAACAAGUCUCAGGAGUAAAGGAGAAGCUAUAACAGGAAAUGAAAAAAUAACUCAAAAGCCUCCAGCAUCUAGAAAAUAAAACAGACCUGUUGUAGAAACUGUCCAGAUUUCAUUACACAAAAAUGAUCCAAGUGUCUCAGACCAGGUAGAUGUAAUUUUUAAAACUUCAGGUAAAAGGAGGAAUAACUAUUCAUCAGUUGGGGGGAAGAGAAUUUCUUUAUAUUUGCAUUACUUUGUAGUGCCAUGCAUGAAGCUAAAUACCUCAUUCCUAAUAUCUGUAAAGAUAAUAAGGGAAUGCAAUUAGAAUCUGCAGCAGUGUGUACUGACACAAGAAGUGAUAUCGGAGACACUGGAACAACGGUAAAGCUGUAUUAAAGCAUGAUUUCAAUAUACCUCACAACAUCCAGCCUGAUCAAUGAAAGGUUGAAUAUCAUACUGUCCUACAAUUAGCAACUGCCCAAAAAAUAUAGGUGAAAUAUUUCAGAUAUUAUCUAGCUGAUGAAAGAAUGAGGUAUUAUUAUCAAGUAAUUCAGUUGUCUGCUCUAACUUCUGUCAAAACUUUAAAUGGUAGAAGCAACAUAGUAAUAGCAGAGGCAAUUCU